CCUACGGGAGGCAGCAGUGAGGAAUAUUGCGCAAUGGGGGAAACCCUGACGCAGCCACGCCGCGUGGUGGAUGACACCCCUAUGGGGCGUAAACACCUUUUAUGAGAGAAGAAGUCCCUACUCGGUAGGGUUUGACGGUACCUCAUGAAUAAGCACCGGCUAACUCCGUGCCAGCAGCCGCGGUAAUACGGAGGGUGCAAGCGUUGUCCGGAAUCACUGGGUGUAAAGGGUGUGUAGGCGGAGCUGUAAGUCAGAGGUGAAAUCCUACGGCUCAACCGUAGAACUGCCUUUGAUACUGCAGCCCUUGAGUAUCGGAGAGGUUGCUGGAAUUCGUGGUGUAGCGGUGAAAUGCGUAGAUAUCACGAGGAACACCAGAGGCGUAGGCGGGCAACUGGACGAUUACUGACGCUGAGGCACGAAAGCGUGGGGAGCAAACAGGAUUAGAUACCCUGGUAGUCCACGCUGUAAACGAUGGAUGCUCGGUGUCGCCCUCUCAGUAGGGCGGUGCCUAAGCUAACGCGUUAAGCAUCCCACCUGGGGAGUACGCUCGCAAGAGUGAAACUCAAAGGAAUUGACGGA
rnacentral:rRNA from 1 species